GGAGGGGUGGCAGAGUGGUUGAAUGCCCUGGUCUUGAAAACCAGUAGGCGCGCAAGCGUCUCGUGGGUUCGAAUCCCACCCCCUCCGCCA
rnacentral:tRNA from 1 species